AACUUCAUUCAUUCGUAACAGAGGAACUAAAAAAUUCGACCACUCAUCAAAAUACAGUUGUGAUGGAAGCAUUGGCUGAACAAAAUGUUCUUAU